AGGGAAUCUUCCGCAAUGGACGAAAGUCUGACGGAGCAACGCCGCGUGAGUGAAGAAGGUCUUCGGAUCGUAAAACUCUGUUGUUAGGGAAGAACAAGUACCGUUCGAAUAGGGCAGCACCUUGACGGUACCUAACCAGAAAGCCACGGCUAACUACGUGCCAGCAGCCGCGGUAAUACGUAGGUGGCAAGCGUUGUCCGGAAUUAUUGGGCGUAAAGCGCGCGCAGGCGGUUUCUUAAGUCGGAUGUGAAAGCCCCCGGCUCAACCGGGGAGGGUCAUUGGAAACUGGGGAACUUGAGUGCAGAAGAGGAGAGUGGAAUUCCACGUGUAGCGGUGAAAUGCGUAGAGAUGUGGAGGAACACCAGUGGCGAAGGCGACUCUCUGGUCUGUAACUGACGCUGAGGCGCGAAAGCGUGGGGAGCGAAC
rnacentral:rRNA from 1 species